GCCUGGCUGGCUUGAUCAGUAGAGCAUGUGACUCUUGAUCUCAGGGUCGUGAGUUCAAGCCCCACAUUGGGUG
rnacentral:tRNA from 1 species